rnacentral:rRNA from 1 species
CCAACAGGGAUUGCCCUAGUAACGGCGAGUGAAGCGGCAACAGCUCAAAUUUGAAAUCUGGCCUCGGCCCGAGUUGUAAUUUGCAGAGGAUGUUUCUGGCGCGGUGCCUUCCGAGUUCCCUGGAACGGGACGCCACAGAGGGUGAGAGCCCCGUAUGGUUGGACACCAAGCCUGUGUGAAACUCCUUCGACGAGUCGAGUAGUUUGGGAAUGCUGCUCUAAAUGGGAGGUAAAUCUCUUCUAAAGCUAAAUACCGGCCAGAGACCGAUAGCGCACAAGUAGAGUGAUCGAAAGAUGAAAAGCACCUUGAAAAGGGGGUUAAACAGUACGUGAAAUUGUUGAAAGGGAAGCGCUCAUGACCAGACUUGUGCCGGGCGGCUCAUCCGGGGUUCUCCCCGGUGCACUCCGCCCGGCUCAGGCCAGCAUCGGUUCUCGUUGGGGGAUAAGAACGGUAGGAACGUGGCCCUCCCUCGGGAGGGUGUUAUAGCCCGCCGUACGAUACCCUGACGGGGACCGAGGUUCGCGCUCCGCAAGGAUGCUGGCGUAAUGGUCAUCAGCGACCCGUCUUGAAACACGGACCAAGGAGUCGUCCAUUAGAGCGAGCGUUUGGGUGUAAAACCCGCACGCGUAAUGAAAGUGAAAUUAGGUGAGAGCUUCGGCGCAUCAUCGACCGAUCCUGAUGUUCUCGGAUGGAUUUGAGUAAGAGUUUUAACGGACGGACCCGAAAGACAGUGAACUAUGCUUGUAUAGGGUGAAGCCAGAGGAAACUCUGGUGGAGGCUCGCAGCGGUUCUGACGUGCAAAUCGAUCGUCAAAUAUGAGCAUGGGGGCGAAAGACUAAUCGAAC